AAAGUGGCUGGCACUCCGUGUAGACGCUCUGAGGACAGCUGUGACCUGCCCGAGUUCUGCUUAGGGACAAGUGCGUUUUGUCCAGAUGAUUUUUACCUGAUGGAUGGACUUCAGUGUCAGAGCGGAGCGGCGUACUGCUACGAGGGACGCUGCCAAACCUACGACUACCAAUGCAGACGAUUAUUCAGCCCAGACCCAGCCACAAAAGCAGCAGAUAUUUGCUUCCAGACGGCAAAUAUUAAAGGAAACGAAUACGGCAACUGUGGCAGGAACAACAAGGACUACAUCAAGUGCCCCACAGCGACUCUGGACUGAGCCUGGAUCAGAGAGAGAACAGAGAGGACGCAGCCCCUCCCACCACCAGCAGGGCGGCGCUGGAGAGUCAACACUCUGAACUAAAUGGAGCCAAUAAUAAAAUAUGAAUGAUUAACCUUCAUCAGCCUCUGGAGGAUCACAGUCCAACAUCUUUACUGCACACAGCUGUAAAAACACCAGAUUAGGUUGUUUUAUUCACAUUUAUCAGAGAUCUCAGGAGAGACUUUAUAUCAAACAGAGGAGGAGCAGAGGAGCAGAGGAGGCUCACAGUGACUCAGGAGGUGUUGGACUGUUUGUCUGAGCAGCACCUCUGCCCUCUCACUGUCACUCAGACUGGACUGAGCAUGGAUCAGAGAGAGACCAGAGAGGACGGAGCCCCUCGCUCUAAACCACCUCUCCCCCCCAAACCUCCUCACCUAUCCAAAGC